rnacentral:rRNA from 1 species
GACGAACGCUGGCGGCGGGCUUAACACAUGCAAGUCGAACGGAAAGUCCCUUCUGGUGUGUGGUGCUCGAGUUGCGAAUGGGUGAGUAACGCGUGAGUAACCUUCCCUUGACGUUGGGAUAACUUCAAGAAACUUGGGCUAAUACCGGAUAGUUGCUCCUGCUGCAUUGUUGGGGUUGGAAAGUUUGGGCGGUUGGGGAUGGACUCGCGGCUUAUCAGCUUGUGGGUGGGGUAGUGGCUUACCAAGGCUUUGACGGGUAGCCGGCCUGAGAGGGUGACCGGCCACAUUGGGACUGAGAUACGGGCCAGACUCCUACGGGAGGCAGCAGUGGGGAAUAUUGCACGAUGGGCGGAAGCCUGAUGCAGCAACGCCGCGUGCGGGAUGACGGCCUUCGGGUUGUAAACCGCUUUCGCCUGUGACGAAGAGUGAGUGACGGUAAUGGGUAAAGAAGCACCGGCUAACUACGUG